ACUUCGGUUUGGGUGGCGGACGGGUGAGUAACGCGUAAAGAACUUGCCUCACAGACAGGGACAACAUUUGGAAACGAAUGCUAAUACCUGAUAUUAUGAUUAUAAGGCAUCUUAUGAUUAUGAAAGCUAUAUGCGCUGUGAGAGAGCUUUGCGUCCCAUUAGCUAGUUGGAGAGGUAACAGCUCACCAAGGCGAUGAUGGGUAGCCGGCCUGAGAGGGUGAACGGCCACAAGGGGACUGAGACGCGGCCCUUACUCCUACGGGAGGCAGCAGUGGGGAAUAUUGGACAAUGGACCAAGAGUCUGAUCCAGCAAUUCUGUGUGCACGAUGAAGUUUUUCGGAAUGUAAAGUGCUUUCAGUUGGGAAGAAAAAAAUGACGGUACCAACAGAAGAAGUGACGGCUAAAUACGUGCCAGCAGCCGCGGUAAUACGUAUGUCACAAGCGUUAUCCGGAUUUAUUGGGCGUAAAGCGCGUCUAGGUGGUUAUGUAAGUCUGAUGUGAAAAUGCAGGGCUCAACUCUGUAUUGCGUUGGAAACUGUGUAACUAGAGUACUGGAGAGGUAAGCGGAACUACAAGUGUAGAGGUGAAAUUCGUAGAUAUUUGUAGGAAUGCCGAUGGGGAAGCCAGCUUACUGGACAGAUACUGACGCUAAAGCGCGAAAGCGUGGGUAGCAAACAGGAUUAGAUACCCUGGUAGUCCACGCCAUAAACGAUGAUUACUAGGUGUUGGGGGUCGAACCUCAGCGCCCAAGCAAACGCGAUAAGUAAUCCGCCUGGGGAGUACGUACGCAAGUAUGAAACUCAAAGGAAUUGACGG
rnacentral:rRNA from 1 species